rnacentral:rRNA from 1 species
UUGCCCUAGUAACGGCGAGUGAAGCGGCAACAGCUCAAAUUUGAAAUCUGGCUCUUUCAGAGUCCGAGUUGUAAUUUGCAGAGGGUGCUUUGGCGUUGACUGCGGUCCAAGUUCCUUGGAACAGGACGUCACAGAGGGUGAGAAUCCCGUAUGUGGUCGCUGGCCUUCGCCGUGUAAAGCCCCUUCGACGAGUCGAGUUGUUUG